UUGAAACCCCUGCUCUCAUAUGAUCACUGAAAUAAAGUAAAAUUGAGCCUGAUCAAUACUUAGGUGGGUAACUGUUUGGGAAUACCAGGUGCUGUAA